UCAGUUCAUAACAUGUACUCAUCCAUAGGUUUAUACAGAGGGUACACCAACAGAACCCCUGCAAAAAAGAAGUGUUUGUGAUCAUGAGUAGCUGGUUAAGGCCAUGAGACGCUAUGACAAAUUAACGUUAAUUAAAGGGACAAUGUUUGACCUCUUACAUUGAGGCAUUUUUCUAUUUUUUUGCCAAAUUAUUUUUAAUCAAAUUCAGUAGGAGUAAGACACUAUAUGCUGUUACCAAUCAAAAUCCAUUUUUUGCACUCCAGAAGUGCAUGCUGUCAUGAAGUAUAUUGAUGGAUUUGCAGUAAUGCUGAGAGAUGUUUUAACCUUCAAGCAUCCUUCGUAUAGCAGCUCUUAAUUGGUCCUUCAUCUCUAAACGUACCAUAUUUAUGUAAAAUAAAAAUAAAAAAUGAAAAAAUGCUGUCACUGGCUCAUUCAAUUUUUUUGAUCUUGUAUGUACCAGUGUCUUUUUAUUAAACAAAAUUCCCCCAAAAACCGCUUCGUUAUAGGCUCGGUUAUAUAAAACUGGCAGUAGGUUGUAACAAGUCACGGUCUUAAUGAGUGAGACAUUCAGAUUUUUUAGAACCAUUUUUGUUUAAAAAUUCAAACCGUUAUACUUUAAGAACUUUCAUGAUUUUAAGUUAAACAUCACAUUUGCAGCCACGCUGAUAUUAAGGAGGAGCCACACUCUUGCUCAAGUGAUAAUGCUUGUCAUAUAGAUGUAUAAAUAUCAGACAAACUCAUACGGGGCAUGUUGGACCUCAUAUAUUGAAUUUGGGGUCAUUCUAACAGUAUUCUGCUGGGGCACAUCACACAGUUUAAAUGAGUUUUACUUAAGUGACAUGUUUGAUAAUGUCAUCUUCUACAUGGUUGAAACAAGGACUGUUAUUCUAGACAAUACAACAAAUCCAUACCCUCUGUCUCAAGUCUCUUGAAAAAAAAAAAAAAAACAUUUCAAAACAUCUCAAA